GUCUGACGGAGCNNGCCGCGUGAGUGAUGAAGGUUUUCGGAUCGUAAAGCUCUGUUGUUAGGGAAGAACAAGUACCGUUCGAAUAGGGCGGUACCUUGACGGUACCUAACCAGAAAGCCACGGCUAACUACGUGCCAGCAGCCGCGGUAAUACGUAGGUGGCAAGCGUUGUCCGGAAUUAUUGGGCGUAAAGGGCUCGCAGGCGGUUUCUUAAGUCUGAUGUGAAAGCCCCCGGCUCAACCGGGGAGGGUCAUUGGAAACUGGGGAACUUGAGUGCAGAAGAGGAGAGUGGAAUUCCACGUGUAGCGGUGAAAUGCGUAGAGAUGUGGAGGAACACCAGUGGCGAAGGCGACUCUCUGGUCUGUAACUGACGCUGAGGAGCGAAAGCGUGGGGAGCGAACAGGAUUAGAUACCCUGGUAGUCCACGCCGUAAACGAUGAGUGCUAAGUGUUAGGGGGUUUCCGCCCCUUAGUGCUGCAGCUAACGCAUUAAGCACUCCGCCUGGGGAGUACGGUCGCAAGACUGAAACUCAAAGGAAUUGACGGGGGCCCGCACAAGCGGUGGAGCAUGUGGUUUAAUUCGAAGCAACGCGAAGAACCUUACCAGGUCUUGACAUCCUCUGACAAUCCUAGAGAUAGGACGUCCCCUUCGGGGGCAGAGUGACAGGUGGUGCAUGGUUGUCGUCAGCUCGUGUCGUGAGAUGUUGGGUUAAGUCCCGCAACGAGCGCAACCCUUGAUCUUAGUUGCCAGCAUUCAGUUGGGCACUCUAAGGUGACUGCCGGUGACAAACCGGAGGAAGGUGGGGAUGACGUCAAAUCAUCAUGCCCCUUAUGACCUGGGCUACACACGUGCUACAAUG
rnacentral:rRNA from 1 species